rnacentral:rRNA from 1 species
GGGUAGUUUGACUGGGGCGGUCUCCUCCCAAAGAGUAACGGAGGAGCACGAAGGUUAGCUAAUCACGGUCGGACAUCGUGAGGUUAGUGCAAAGGCAUAAGCUAGCUUGACUGCGAGAGUGACGGCUCGAGCAGGUACGAAAGUAGGUCUUAGUGAUCCGGUGGUUCUGAAUGGAAGGGCCAUCGCUCAACGGAUAAAAGGUACUCCGGGGAUAACAGGCUGAUACCGCCCAAGAGUUCAUAUCGACGGCGGUGUUUGGCACCUCGAUGUCGGCUCAUCACAUCCUGGGGCUGAAGUAGGUCCCAAGGGUAUGGCUGUUCGCCAUUUAAAGUGGUACGCGAGCUGGGUUUAGAACGUCGUGAGACAGUUCGGUCCCUAUCUGCCGUGGGCGUUGGAAGAUUGAGAGGGGUUGCUCCUAGUACGAGAGGACCGGAGUGAACGCACCACUGGUGUUCGGGUUGUCAUGCCAAUGGCACUGCCCGGUAGCUAAGUGCGGAAAAGAUAAGCGCUGAAAGCAUCUAAGCGCGAAACUUGCCUCGAGAUGAGUCUUCCCUGGGCCUUUAAGGUCCCUGAAGGAACGUUUAAGACUAAGACGUUGAUAGGCUGGGUGUGUAAGUGCAGCGAUGCAUUGAGCUAACCAGUACUAAUGAUCCGUGAGGCUUAACCUU